UUGCCGGAAGAAAUAUCAACAAAGUCAAAGCCCUAUAAGAUUUAAUAAUUUCAGUGGUGCGGUGACCACCUAGUGGGGCUCCUUUUCCAGAGAUGAGCGCCUAGUUCCUUCACGUGCAAUUCUUUGAGAGGUGUAUUUGCUCAGUUGAGCAUGAAAAAAAACAACAACCAGCCAGCAUCACCAGAAAAACUGAAGAGGCUGUGCAGCUGGCAGCUUUUAUGACAUCAGUCAUAAUCUGAGAGAACUGCAGCUGAAAUCAGUCAGCACAAAUAGGAGGUGCUGAAGGCAGCUGGUAUUAACAAAGCAUGCACUGGAAAGCAAAGCCUCCUCACCCCACCCCCACUCAGCAAAAAAAAGAAAAGGAAAAGAAAAAUCCUUGCUGCAGACGACUCAUAUACAGAAAACAGAAUAAAUGUUUCUCUGUCAGCCUUCCCUUUCCUGCAGUAGUGUCCCAGAACGUUUUUAUACAGGAUGGGGUUAGCCAUGGGCCCAGUACAGGCAACCAGGCUAUCUACAGUGGAGUUGCCAUAUCUGUAUUAAAGAGAAUGAUAUGUGAUUAUUUCCCCUCGCCUGCAUUCUAAUAUGUGCAAAAUAAGUGCUGAAAGAUUCUAAAAAAUUAAUUUCUAAUGGUAUGUACAGUAUUUAUAAUCAAGGCAAAAGAAUGCUUACGGGGACAAGCCAUGGAAGUUCUAGAUUAUUGACUACAAUUGAGACUAGGGUUACAUAGUGACGAUAUCUCAGUUCCUGCUUGUUUUUCACUUAACUGAAACAUAUAUUUUUUUUCCUUUCCUGUUCCUUGUCCAAUCACCCUUGGUUCACAGACCCUGCAGGAGAAAAGGGGAACAGUUUUGAUCUUCCAAAUGUAAUAUUGAUAUUGCUGCAUGCGACCCCAAUCUCCAAACAGUGCAGGACUCCAGGAGUUCCAGGUGCUUAUCCAAGGUCCGGUUUCCUUGGAAUGAGGGACAGUGUAGGCUGUGGUGCCCUUAUGAUAUACGGUUUAUUUACACAUAUAUACAACCUGAUGGUGGGACUCACAGCAUGAACACCCCAAGAGUCUUGGUUCGCCCAUAGUCAAAGCCUUGACUUCAAGCAGAAAUCAAGCAUGGCUCUGCCUUUCUGGCUUGCUUCUAGCCCAGCUUUCACAAAAACUCACUGGCUUUUGUCUUUCUCAUUACCAAUCAGGUGAGGGAACCACCCCACCCCACCCAUUUUCUCUAUGGCACAGAGCUACUUCCUUUGUUAAACUAAGCACCAUACAGUGGCACCUCUGGUUACAGACGCUUCAGGUUACAGUCUCCGCUAACCCAGAAAUAU